GACGAACGCUGGCGGCGUGCCUAAUACAUGCAAGUCGAGCGGACUUGACAGAGCUUGCUCUGUUCAAGUUAGCGGCGGACGGGUGAGUAACACGUGGGCAACCUGCCCUGCAGAUUGGGAUAACUCCGGGAAACCGGGGCUAAUACCGAAUAACAUUGAAAACCUCAUGGUUUUCUUUUAAAAGGCGGCUUCGGCUGUCACUGCAGGAUGGGCCCGCGGCGCAUUAGCUAGUUGGUGAGGUAACGGCUCACCAAGGCAACGAUGCGUAGCCGACCUGAGAGGGUGAUCGGCCACACUGGGACUGAGACACGGCCCAGACUCCUACGGGAGGCAGCAGUAGGGAAUCUUCCGCAAUGGACGAAAGUCUGACGGAGCAACGCCGCGUGAGUGAAGAAGGUUUUCGGAUCGUAAAACUCUGUUGUUAGGGAAGAACAAGUAUCGGAGUAACUGCCGGUACCUUGACGGUACCUGACCAGAAAGCCACGGCUAACUACGUGCCAGCCGCCGCUGUAAUAC
rnacentral:rRNA from 1 species